UGGGGAAUAUUGGACAAUGGGCGCAAGCCUGAUCCAGCCAUGCCGCGUGUGUGAAGAAGGCCUUCGGGUUGUAAAGCACUUUCAGUGGUGAGGAAGGGGAGUAAGUUAAUAGCUUGCUUCAUUGACGUUAGCCACAGAAGAAGCACCGGCUAACUCCGUGCCAGCAGCCGCGGUAAUACGGAGGGUGCGAGCGUUAAUCGGAAUUACUGGGCGUAAAGCGCACGUAGGCGGCCUGUUAAGCAAGAUGUGAAAGCCCAGGGCUCAACCUUGGAAUUGCAUUUUGAACUGGCAGGCUAGAGUUUUGAAGAGGGUGGUAGAAUUUCCAGUGUAGCGGUGAAAUGCGUAGAUAUUGGAAGGAAUACCAGUGGCGAAGGCGGCCACCUGGUCAAAAACUGACGCUGAGGAGCGAAAGCGUGGGGAGCAAACAGGAUUAGAUACCCCCGUAGUCC
rnacentral:rRNA from 1 species